rnacentral:rRNA from 1 species
GACGUAGGGCGCGAGCGUUGUCCGGAUUUAUUGGGCGUAAAGAGCUCGUAGGCGGCUUGUCGCGUCGAAUGUGAAAACUCGGGGCUCAACUCCGAGCUUGCAUUCGAUACGGGCAGGCUAGAGUUCGGUAGGGGAGACUGGAAUUCCUGGUGUAGCGGUGAAAUGCGCAGAUAUCAGGAGGAACACCGGUGGCGAAGGCGGGUCUCUGGGCCGAUACUGACACUGAGAGACGAAAGCUAGGGGAGCGAAUGGG